rnacentral:misc_RNA from 1 species
UUCGUUUUCUCCGGCCGACCGGCGGGAGAGAAAAAAAUGGCGAACAUGAGGACGGCGAUGGAUGCAGCAUUCUGGGACCUCAACAUUUCAACACCGAGAGCCCUAGACGGGACGGCUAGGUCCAUUCCAGGGGAGCCUAUACCACUUGAUAGAAGCACAGCUAGUAAAGCUCUCAGAAUCCAACAACUUUCUCUUCUCGGAAAUGGAUUUCCUCUCGGAAUCAUUCCCUCUUAUUCUCCAACUACCCGCAAGGAAUUGGGCUCUUUUGCUCUUCAGUCCCUUUUGUUUAAAGCUGCUACUUCUAACUGGUGGCUUGGAUUCACAGGUCAGUUUCGACCAAAAAAACUGGUAUCUGACAUUAAAGCUGAGUUGUCCAGUGUGGAUGAAUGGGAGCUGCCGAUACUAAAAGACAUUGGCAAGCAUUUCUUGGAGAAGUCACUUUAUGCCUUUGGUCUGUGCUCACAGCUAUCUCUGACACCCUCUUCUUCUCUGUUAUUGAGCACGGA